ACCAGAGAUGGAAUCCUUCAGUUCGGCUGGACCGGAGACAGGUGCUGCAUGGCUGUCGUCAGCUCGUGUCGUGAGAUGUUGGGUUAAGUCCCGCAACGAGCGCAACCCUCGCCUUUAGUUGCCAUCAUUUAGUUGGGCACUCUAAAGGGACUGCCGGUGAUAAGCCGGAGGAAGGUGGGGAUGACGUCAAGUCCUCAUGGCCCUUACGGGUUGGGCUACACACGUGCUACAAUGGCGGUGACAGUGGGCAGCUACUUCGCAAGGAGAAGCUAAUCCCAAAAAGCCGUCUCAGUUCAGAUUGCACUCUGCAACUCGGGUGCAUGAAGUUGGAAUCGCUAGUAAUCGCUAAUCAGCAGGUAGCGGUGAAUACGUUCCCGGGCCUUGUACACACCGCCCGUCACACCAUGGGAGUUGGUCUUACCUGAAGACGGUGUGCUAACCAGCAAUGGAGGCAGCCGGCCACGGUAAGGUCAGCGACUGGGGUGAAGUCGUAACAAGGUAGCCGU
rnacentral:rRNA from 1 species